GCAGUGGAUUCACUUACAAAAGAAAAAGAAGCUCGAACUAGUAUCGAAAGGUCGCAAGCUUCUCUGUCGGAAGAGAUCAAGAAAGUUCAAGGCGAGCUUGAUGGUGCUAAUCAAAGGAUAGCAUCGAUUAAUGAUAUGUUCAAGCUACUACAAGAGUACAACUCGAGUCUGGCAAUUAUACAACAGUAAACUCCAGUCGGACCUUGACACAGCUCACGAAACCAUUAAGCGUGGAGAGAAAGAGAGAUCAGCCAUAGUGGAGAAUCUUCACACCUUAAGGGGUCAACAUAAAUCAUUGCCUUUCAUCUAUAGCUUCCCAAGAUGAUGUUAUGAAGCAGAAAGAUUCUUUGCUGAAUGAAGUUGCAUGUCUUAGAAUGGAGCUACACCAGACCAAAGAAGACCGCGAGCACUAUCAACAGCAAGUGCAGAGUCUAACAACUGAAGUAUCGAGAUACAAAGAGUUGGCUACCAACUCAAGCGAAUUACAGGAAAAAUGCUUGUCUCAAGGUAAUCAAAUACAAAUUUUGCACGACCAACUAGCGGUUGCAGAGAGGAAAUUACAGG